rnacentral:lncRNA from 1 species
CCUGCCCAAGAGCCCAGCCCCACGGAGAAGCGCUUGAAGGCCUUUUCCCCAGGAGUCCAGCCCUCCCUCCUCUGCCUCCACAGAACCUGGGAAGUGCCAGACGGAGGGAAGAAACUGGACAGCUCUGAGAGAGGGCAGGACCUCCAAGACUGCUGGAGUUUUCCUUGCCUUUCCCCUUUCAGCAGUGCUGGGAAGCAAAGCUUUGUGGCUGAGAGAGUGGACCCACUGCCCACGCUAACGCAGGCCCCUGGAGGCUCAGAGGUGGAAAUUGGGGAUCGGAAGUGGAGGCCGAGAGAGAGAUUCCUCCGUCGCCACCCCUUUCCAUUAAGGAUACACCUUUCUCCCAGGGUGCUCAGCACGUGGGAAUCUUACUUUCUAAACCAUCACCCCCUGCACUGGAAGCACAGAGUCUUAACAACUAGACUGCCAAGAAGUCCCAGAUUUCUUCUUUUUGUAUUCCUUGUUUUACACAUCAGUUCCAGAGAAGGGCAAAUGCAUCACCGCCUGAAGACGGGGAAGCUGGAGUCGGUGAGGGUUCUCUUCUGUGUCACUACGCUACAUUAGGAAUAAAACCUUCCACUUAAACACUUAAAUGAAAACAUCGAGAAACUAAUUUACUAUUUGCA